rnacentral:tRNA from 1 species
AAAAAGAUAAGCUAAAUAAGCUAUUGGGUUCAUACCCCAUUUAUAUAGGUUUUUAAAUCCUUUUUC